AACUGGUAUGUACAAAAUGAUGGCAUCUACCAUGCGAAAUACGUGAAUCUAUGCACUAGCCAUACUCGUACAAUCAGUUAGGGGAAACUUUAAGAGCUCCCUGGAAUCAUUAACUACCACCCUGUUUAGCAGCUUCACCACUAACACCAGCUGUUGUCACGAUAGAUUUACCGUAACCACACUGACCUUUAGAGUUUGGGUUAAUAAAAACAAAUUCAGACCUGUGAAAAUAAGGUUGAAUACAAAUCAAAACGCACUGGCCUUCAUAACAAAAAGGUGCAGAAAAUCAACAAUAGGAAGCUAUGUCCAUGAAAGCACUCUGAGCAACCGCAAGAAGGCUACACAGGGGAGGUGGAUGGAGAGGGGGUAGAAUGGCUAUUGUAAGUAGCCGUCGUAGGAAUGAAUUAUUACUCACAAAAGAAACGAUGACAGACAGGAUGAGCCAUGCAGUCAAAAUAGUCAGAAAUAUUAUGCCCACGCAUAUGCCGGGUAGGGGUAUUUUCAAUCUUUUAAGUUCUUCUCGCAUGUGUUGAACUGUCAGGACAACAGUAUCCAUAACAAUAGUCAGAAAUAGGCCAAGUGUUAGUGCUUUAAAUACAA